rnacentral:tRNA from 1 species
GCCCGGGUAGCUCAGUGGUAGAGCGUCCGGCUGUUAACCGGAAGGUCGGAGGUUCGAGUCCUCCCCCGGGCG